rnacentral:rRNA from 1 species
UACGUAGGGGGCAAGCGUUGUCCGGAAUCAUUGGGCGUAAAGCGCACGUAGGCGGACUCUUAAGUCGGUGGUGAAAUCCUGGAGCUCAACUCCAGAACUGCCUUCGAUACUGAGAGUCUCGAGUCCGGGAGAGGUGAGUGGAACUGCGAGUGUAGAGGUGAAAUUCGUAGAUAUUCGCAAGAACACCAGUGGCGAAGGCGGCUCACUGGCCCGGUACUGACGCUGAGGUGCGAAAGCGUGGGGAGCAAACAGG